CGUACGAAAAUGGAGCGUUGGGCAAGCCACAAAGAGAGAGAUGAUGUUGUCACUGUCACGGCAUCGUCCACUUCUUCAAAACUUCAAGAGAAGGAAAAAGGCACUAACGGCCGAGUUCUCGAACCUGUCCAUGACAAGAAUCGGGAUUUAACUGAAGAGAAAAGUAGCCAUGACCUUGCAGAGACCAAAGAUAGAAGCGAGAAGGGACCUCCAGGAGAUCGGCACUUGGACACGGUUGAGAAACUCAAGAAACGUAGUGAACGGUUCAAACUUCCAAUGCCCACGGAGAAAGAUACCACAGUCGUAAAGAAAAUGGAGUCUGAGACGCUGCCCUCUGCAAAAAUUGAAGGCCCUGUGGAUUCAGAGGUGAAAGCAGAGCGGCCAGCAAGGAAAAGACGGUGGACAAGUAGCUGAGAGCCUGGCUCUCUUUGGCUGGAUCGAGGGGUAGCUUCUUAUACUUAAACGGAUGGCAUGAGAUUCUCGCAUCCCACGGAGCAGUUGUUGCCGUGGAGGAUCAAGUUCCAUGAAGAUUAAUUAGAAGAGCUUAGGAAGAGUGUGUGGGAGUGAGCUAUGUUGUGUAAGAAUAAUACGCAUAAGGAUUUUACUUUGAGAGAAUACUCUUUUGUAGUAGUUGAUGUAAACUUUUGUCAAAGAUUAUUUGGUCUUUUAGUUUUGUUCACAUACUAAGCGCCUCAAGAGAGAGCGAGGAUAUUUAUAAAGUACUCGAGGCAUUGUAUUUUACUGUAGUAAUUUUGUUACUGUUUUUUGUAAACAACCUUUUGAACACUUGACAUUUGUAUUUUCCUUUUUCCAGGUUUAUUAUGAGGAGACAGCAACAACUAUGAAAGUAGAGACUGCUUGAUGGAGAAAGGCUCGUAAAUAGAAUACGAGCUUAUUAUCACGUUUCAAAAUCUCUUACGAAAUCAAAACUUUCCUAUUACAAACAAACAAAGUUUCUUUAGAGCUUUGAUCUAUAGUAAUAAAUCACUGUUUUGCGGCAUAUAUUGUUUAAAAUGAAUAAAACGUAAAUAGCUCAAGUUUCGAAAAUGCUGAGGGCGGGCAUGUUACAACGUAUGAAGUUAUAUGGUGUGAUUAAAUUUUUAUUCAGUGGCAAAGAGGAAUCCCAUAGCCAGUAUUGCCAGCAAGGAAAGGCACAGAUUAGCAGUGGUGGCAAUAGAGCCAGAAUGACCAGGGGCAUUUGGCGUAGCUCCAGUUGCAUUGUUGGCGGCCAUGUUUGCAACAGGAGGCAGAGGAGGAUCAAUCACGUCUUUGGCGUCAAGAGGUGGGCUUGGGGCACUAGCUGGUGGCUGUGCUUCCUUGUUUGCCACGGAGAUUAGAGAGCCAGCCUCUGCAGGUAAGAUGGCAUAGGGCUGCUCUUUGUCUAAAUCUGAGCAUGGACUCCCUGCAUUUGCAUCAAAUGUUAAGCAUCAGCUUUUGUGUUGUUAAAUGAUCAACAUUAUCUUUGUUAUGUGUAUAUAUUGGUUCUUUCAUGAAUCUUGUAGAGGUUUAGAAUUUACUUAAGUAUCUGGUGGCGGUGGCAGGGAACUCCGUGAUGACUCCAUCAACACCAUUCCCUGCAAUGAAUGUGGCAAACUCUACAGUAGGAUCAGAGAAGUAGUCGAACGCUAUGGAGAUAUACUCGUUCCUUAGCACCGAGACAUAAACAGAGAUAUUCCCCUUGUGCAUUUCCUCCACUACGUUGGUCUUCCCUGCGGCAAAGCUUCCGGAGAUGGUGACGAGAGAACUUCUCAAGAUAUUGACAGCAUCUGCAUGCUUCUUGAUUUCGUCAACGGAUGCCUUGGGAGCAUCUCCUAUUUCCUUGUCGAUGCUCAAGACUCUAGUGUAGGGAGGGACAGCCUCAAAACCGGCCAGAACUGAACUGUCAUCUGACUGAAUCAAUACCCUUUGGGUUGUUUGCUUGUCGAGUGUGGAUUUGGUCAGAGCGGACUUGACUGCGUCUACGAUUCCUAAGCCUUUCUUUGAGGCUAAAUAAGCAGCAUUCUGUCAAAACAAAAAAAACAAGGCGUUAGUGGUGAUGCUUUGAGUAAGUUAAAGGAGCAUUAAUGAAAAAAGGGGCAUAUGCCUGGAUGUUGACAAGAACUCCAGUGACUGCCUUUUCUUUGCUGAACUUAAGGAAGUCAUCAAGAGUUACGAACUUCCCGGCAUUCUUGUUUGCUGGGUUUCUCGAGAUUCCCACCUUAGCUAUGAAAGGGCUCUGGAUUUGAGCUGUAGGCAGAGACAUCCCACUGUCAAAAUAAGCAUUCUACUCGACCAGCUAGCAGUAAGAAACAUCACGAUAACAGUGCACCGUAUCAGAGCAGAAAGAAUCAAGACAGAGGGAAAGAAAUGGAAAGAACUCGAGCGGCGAGCAAAGGUGGUAGGGAGUACUCAAAUCCUCAUACGGACGUUGAUUACUCAAUUGCAAGGGGCGACGAUUAUGAUAGAAGGAAAGAGCGAGAUGUUGAUGGGGGGUUCUGGCGCAGGAAAGAGGAUGACCCAUUCAGUAGAAGAGGUGGGGAUGAAGGGUUUAGAAAAAGGGAUCGUGAAGAGGAUCUGGGCUCUAAGCAGAGGGGUAAAAUGAGAGAGAGUGACAUACGCAACAAAGAUGAUCAUCAUGUUCCAUCGAGAAAGCAUUUGGACGAUGGUGGUUUAAGAAAUAGUUAUGAACUGGAUGAUCACAUCGGGAAGAGGAGGAAGGAUGAAGAAUACUUAAGAAGAAACCGCUCUGAAAAGAACGAAAUCUCAUAUGGUCAAAGAGAAUCAUCAACCAGCCGCCUGAAACGAGAACGGGGUGAUAGGUUGGACCAUCAAAAGAGAGAUGUCCAACAUAAAAGCAGAGAUGAUUUUGAUGACCACAGUUCUCUCAGGCACAGAGACGAUUUCUAUAUGCAGAGAGAUGGAAAUGACAGGUUGAGAGAGCGCGAGGGUAUGGAUAAAUUGAAAUUAACUCAGGAGGAUGGCUUAUCAGCACGAGGAAGAGAGAGGCAGGUACCUACUACAAGGGGUCAUAGAGGCUCAGAAGACCGAUCAUCAUCGAUGAUGAAGGAUGAUUAUAAAACUUCUGAGAAAGAGCAUCUCACAAAAGAUUCAACAAGGCAUAGUAAACAGACGAAGAGAAGGGAAUAUCAUGGUGAAGAAAGUUCUCAUCAUAGAGGACACAGAGACUUCUCUGCACGCACAGAUGAGACUGCUAACAAUGAGAAAAUGCCAAGGCAGGAGAGAACAAGUGCUAAAAGUGACAAUGUUAUUAAUUCUUUGGACGGCCAGCAGUUGCAAGACAGAAAACAUAAAGAUUCCAGACGAAAGAUUAAAGAACAACGAGAGGGUGCCGAUUCAGUGAGGAGCAAGCAAGGAGAAGAAAAUGGCAGUUCAGAAGUAACGGUAUGCUCUAUCAGCCUAUCAACUUAUUACUCUCAUCCAAGUUUUGUAAACUUAACGUAACAUGGUUAUCGUGAAUGCAUUAGACUUUACAAAGUAUUUUGUUCCUGUGAUUAACCUCACCUAAUAAUAUAUCUCAUGGGUUUGGUCACUUUUAAUAUGCCUCAACGGGUCAGUAUUGAUGCUUCUUUCAUGCCUUCCAGGGCUCAAAAGGUAAAAACGAAGCAAGAAAUCACAGGAGUGAGAUCCCACAGCAGACUAACGCCACCAAAAGACACAAGGAGGAUGCUUCAUCUGGUGAUGAGCUGCAAGAUUCAAAGAGAGGACGUACGAAAAUGGAGCGUUGGGCAAGCCACAAAGAGAGAGAUGAUGUUGUCACUGUCACGGCAUCGUCCACUUCUUCAAAACUUCAAGAGAAGGAAAAAGGCACUAACGGCCGAGUUCUCGAACCUGUCCAUGACAAGAAUCGGGAUUUAACUGAAGAGAAAAGUAGCCAUGACCUUGCAGAGACCAAAGAUAGAAGCGAGAAGGGACCUCCAGGAGAUCGGCACUUGGACACGGUUGAGAAACUCAAGAAACGUAGUGAACGGUUCAAACUUCCAAUGCCCACGGAGAAAGAUACCACAGUCGUAAAGAAAAUGGAGUCUGAGACGCUGCCCUCUGCAA
rnacentral:lncRNA from 1 species